rnacentral:tRNA from 1 species
GGGGUUGUGGCUCAGUGGUAGAGCGCUCACCUAGCACAUGGUAGGCCCUGGGUUCGAUCCUCAGCACCA